CCCACAUCAGAUUUGUGGGUUGUGCUGCUGCAUAAGGUUGGAGGUGUAAUUUUCCCUCCCUGCCACUAGGAGGCGAGUAUGCCUUGAGAUGACUUUCUGUCAGUCAACAUUUCCUGUUGUGGAAGCCAUUACUCACGAGGCAACCGCCAAAUUAGCUGAAAGAUCCUGGAUCUGAAAUCUGUGAAAUACGGCCGUGGGAAGCUGCGUCAGCCAGGCGAGCUAUCUCACCACGAGCUCCGAUUGGUUUUUGACCAGGACCGGAUCAAUUGAGAUCUGAACCCUGUGGGUUCAGUGGCGAGCCAAUCCCAAGAGAGUGACUGUAGACGGACCAGAGUACUGUGUGGCCAGCCGUGGGAUCCAUCUUCAGCGAACCUCAGGACUAUAACUACAUUCCUUGACACAGAUAAGACUAACACUUUAACAUCUACCCGGGUAGUGUUAGAACCAGUGGACAGAAACACACACACACACACACAAGGAACUCUAAUUUCUCUUUUCAAAGAGAAGUGGACUGAGCAACAGGAGCGGAAGCUCUUGAAUUGAAACUUUUUGGAGAAUUUCCUUAAAGAGGAUAUUUGGUUUUGAUUUUAUUUUGGGUCCUUUAAUGUGCGUUUGUGCACUGUAGGAAGCCGGCUUUAGACAGGCAGGGUUUGUACACUUUACAACUUUUCAAUACAGUUUCCAUUUGAACCAUAUCUUAUCUAUCAUUGUGUGGUUCCUUCUCUGCUGAUCCUUUCAAGGCUCCAUAGUCGUACUUAGAACCUUCUGAUGCUAGUCCAACGUUGUCGAGACAAUAAUUUAAUACCU